rnacentral:sRNA from 1 species
AAUUGAAAACUCAAUAGAUUCGAACCUAGUGAAGAUCGUUUGAACAACGAGCUAGGACAAUGUGGGAUAAGUCGUAACAAGUGAGAAUGCGGGAUACUGUGUUCUGAUUUGGGUAUGGAUCACAGAAGGAUGCGUCCGGUAAUAUGAUCGGAACUAGUGGUAAAAGCCAUUAUACGCAAAGCGUUGUGUGGAAAUUAUGCAGAGGUAAGGUGCAAGACUUUCGGGCGAGACAAUAGACGCUCCAGUGGAGAAUAAUCUUAGUUAGGGUUAGCGUGAGAAACUAAGCAAACCUAAGAAAACUCAAAACAAUCGCUACUGAUGAGAAACCUAGAAAUAGGUGUAUGACGAAAGAAAUUGGCACGAGUAGCUUAACUUAUCAGCUCUUUGGAGUAAACAGAUGCUAAGCCAAAAAAUGGCUAAUAAUGUUUAACAAUAAUAUGCUGAAUGUUCAAGUGAAAGUUGUUGGCUGUUAUGCCAGACCACGCACGAAAAGCAAGAAGAAGCAUUACUGUAGCUCGGUAGUGUUCAGCCUUCUUGGGCGUGUUACCCAAUAACCUUGAAAAUAAUUAAAGCAGGAAGAAAAGCCUGAAUCUGUUGAGUUUUGA